rnacentral:lncRNA from 1 species
UGACCCCACGGCGCUAGCGGUCCUCGCGGUCUUCCAGGCCUAGCCGCCAUACACCCGUCCCCCAACGACUUCCAACCACCCCAGCAAGCACAACCUCUUCGGGCGUUCCAACGCGGCGCCCCCUA